rnacentral:lncRNA from 1 species
UUGUGAUCAUCUGUGGAUGCUGUUGUGGCGGUGGCAAUUGGCAGUGGAGGUGUUAGAAUUUGGGAGUUUUGCAUUCCGUAUGCAGGAAUCUUGAUGCAGUGGAGGUGUUAGAAUUUGGGAGUUUUGCAUUCCGUAUGCAGGAAUCUUGAUGGGUGUUGACUUAUUACCAAUAGGAUUGAGGGAAAUAGUUAAAUUUGUUACCUGGAGCCAGUGAAAGAUGCUGUGAUAAGAGCAUUUCUAGGGUUUAUGUGUUCAGGCUUUGGAAACCUAGUUCAAUUUUGUGCCAUGGAAUUGGAAAAGAAAUUUAGCAUUAUUUCUUGUAUGAAUCAGGGAACUAUUUGAAUUUCCAUGGGGGUAUGGUGAAAAAGAACACCUUUUUUUUUUGUGUGUGUGUGGGGGG